AAGACUAUACUUUCAGGAAUUGUUUCUAUAAUUCGUUACUACAGAAGUUUCUCUGACUGUGUAGAGAACAGUCCUUGUAAACCACAAGGAGGAGAUGUAGUAUUCCCUCAUGAGCAUGAAGCUGGCUCUAGGUGCUGCUUCAUUGCAGUUGCCUCUUGCCAUUGAUGAUCAUUCUUCUCUCCUUUGGAAGGGUGAGAGGGAGAGAACACAGUCUGAGAGGA